CACGGCUCCUCCGUGGGUGAGUCAUUCAUUAUCCCAAAAAUCCCAGUGUUCCCAAAAAUCCCAGUGUUCCCAGUGCUCCCAGUGACCCCUGCACGGCUCCUCCGUGGGUGAGUCAUUCAUUAUCCCAAAAAUCCCAGUGUUCCCAAAAUUCCCGGAAUUCCCAAAAAUCCCAGUGUUCCCAGUGACCCCUGCACGGCUCCUCCGUGGGUGAGUCAUUCAUUAUCCCAAAAAUCCCAGUGUUCCCAAAAUUCCCAGUGUUCCCAGUGACCCCUGCACGGCUCCUCCGUGGGUGAGUCAUUGUCCCGGAAUUCCCAAAAAUCCCAGUGUUCCCAAAAUUCCCGGAAUUCCCAAAAAUCCCAGAAUUCCCAAAAAUCCCAGUGCUCCCAGUGACCCCUGCACGGCUCCUCCGUGGGUGAGUCAUUGUCCCAGAAUUCCCAAAAAUCCCAGGAUUCCCAAAAUUCCCAGUGUUCCCAGUGACCCCUGCACGGCUCCUCUGUGGGUGAGUCAUUGUCCCGGAAAUCCCGGAAUUCCCAGAAUUCCCAAAAUUCCUAAAAAUCCCAAUAUUCCCAGCAUUCCCAGUGCUCCCAGUAUCCCCAGUAUUCCCAACUAUUCCCAACUAUUCUCAGCAUUCCCAGUGCUCCUGGUAUUCCCAGCAUUCCCAGUAUCCCAAAUAUUCCCAGUGUCCCAAAUAUUCCCAGUAUUCCCAGCAUUCCCAGUGCUCCCAGCAUUCCCAGUAUCCAGAGUAUUCCCAGUAUUCCCAGAAAUUCCAGUAUUCCCAGUGUUUGAGUAUUCCCAGCACUCCCAGUAUUCCCAGUGCUCCUGGUAUUCCCAAUAUUCCCAGCAAUCCCAGUGCUCCCAGUAUCCCCAGUAUUCCGAAUAUUCCCAACUAUUCCCAGUGCUCCAAGUAUUCCCAGUACUCCCAGUAUUCCCAAUAUUCCCAGAAAUCCCAAUAUUCUCAGUGUUUGAGUAUUGCCAGUACUCCCAGUGCUCCCAGUAUUCCCAAUAUUCUCAGUAUCCUCAGAAAUCCCAGUAUCCCCAGUACCCCCAAUAUUCCCAAUAUUCCCAGUGCUCCCAUCAUUCCCAGUGCUCCCAGUAUUCCCAGUGCUCCCACUAUCCAGAGUAUUCCCAGUACCCCCAGUAUUCCCAGUAUCCCCAAUAUUCCCAAUAUUCCCAGUGCUCCCAGCAUUCCCAGUGCUCCCAGUACCCCCAGUAUUCCCACUCUUCCCACUAUCCAGAGUAUUCCCAGUAUUCCCAGCAUUCCCAGUGCUCCCAGUAUUCCCACUAUUCCCAUCAUUCCCAGUGCUCCCAGUACCCCCAGU
rnacentral:lncRNA from 1 species